rnacentral:lncRNA from 10 species
GCACUGCGGGUGCUCUCUGGCCCCCACCCCAUCAUCGCGCAACACACCCCCUUCAACAUGCGCGGCCACCCUUUCAUUGCCCUGCGCCCCGAGCGGUCCCACCGCCCGGCAAAACACUGAGCAAGCCGCUGCUCUCACCUUGCUUGACACACUUGAGCCGGAGGGGGUCCUUGCAGUGUUUGAUCACGGCCAGCACGUCCCUGAUGGUGAGCCCCGCCACGGGGGUCUCGUUCACCUCCAGCAGCAGCUCCUCCGACACCAAUUUGCUGCCGCUCUCAUAGGCCACCUUGCCGGGCUUCACCUCCCCCAGUAAUGUCUUACAAUAACAGAAUGCAGGAGAGCACAUAUCAAUGAAGAAAAGACAAAAUGUACUUAUCCAUGAAGCUGAGGUUAAGAAACCAGUGUCUUCAAGAGCCAGGGACAGCACUGGGUCUGUGCAGAGUUGAGAGAUGGUGAUGACAUGUGGUUUCCAGCAUUCCUCACCCAGUCCAGGGACACUGUGGGUGUGCCCAGCUUAAGUCCAGUAACUGGAAAUACAAGCCCAAGUUCUGGAGAGUUUGAGCUGCAGAGAUAUAUAUGGGAACACUUUGAAUCUUGACUCAUUGGCCAUAACCAGCAGAGUGGAAAAUACAAG